UACGGGGGGGGCAAGCGUUGUUCGGAAUUACUGGGCGUAAAGAGCUCGUAGGUGGCUUGUCACGUCGGGUGUGAAAGCUUGGGGCUUAACUCCAGGUCUGCAUUCGAUACGGGCUGGCUAGAGGUAGGUAGGGGAGAACGGAAUUCCUGGUGUAGCGGUGAAAUGCGCAGAUAUCAGGAGGAACACCGGUGGCGAAGGCGGUUCUCUGGGCCUUACCUGACGCUGAGGAGCGAAAGCGUGGGGAGCGAACAGG
rnacentral:rRNA from 1 species